GGAUGUGAGGGCAAUCUGGCCACAACAUCUGUCACCACAUCGAUUGCCAGGGUUGAUUAGGCCCAUCUGGCUCACUAGAUGGUCCAACUGGCUAGAUGAGUGUCCCCUUCUUCCCUUACAGUUCCAAGUGCUUCCCUCCUGAACCUGUGUGCUUUGUCAAAGAGGAUAACCUUUCCAGAUAGAGGAGGACGGUUCUUUGGUCAAGGGUAUAUGUACAGCUGUGCUGCCCUGCUAGAACCUCCGAACAAACUCUCAAAGUAAAAAAUAAAAGGACUGGAUGGAGAUGUAGCGCAGUAGUAAACAGCCCCUGGGUUCAAUCCCCAUUACCAAAACAUAAAAUAAAAUAGAUGG
ensembl:misc_RNA 7SK 7SK RNA